AUUGAACGCUGGCGGCAGGCCUAACACAUGCAAGUCGAACGAGUGGCGGACGGGUGAGUAAUGUCUGGGAAACUGCCCGAUGGAGGGGGAUAACUACUGGAACCGGUAGCUAAUACCGCAUACCAUCGGAUGUGCCCAGAUGGGAGUAGCUAGUGGGAGGGGUAACGGCUCAACUAGGCGACGAUCCAUAGCUGGUCUGAGAGGAUGACCAGCCACACUGGAACGUGGACACGGCCCAGACUCCUACGAAGAGCAGCAGUGGGGAAUAUUGCACAAUGGGCGCAAGCCUGAUGCAACCAUGCCGCAUGGAUGAAGAAGGCCUUCGGGUUGUAAAGUACUUUCAGCGAGGAGGCGUUACUCGCAGAAGAAGCACCGGCUAACUCCGGGCCAGCAGCCGCGGUAAUAC
rnacentral:rRNA from 1 species